CUCCUGCAGCUGCGGCAUCGCGGCGGAGGGCUCUCGCGUUCCGACCGCCGCUGAGGCAGCGCGUGGGCGCGCGACCAACGGCCGUAACGGUCGUUCCGGUUAUUCAAACAGCGCUCGGCCGCCGGAGCGUUUGCGCCUUCCGGCUAUAGAGGGAUCUCCGCAGAGAGGGACGGAGGGUCGUCGCCUCAUCCUCGAGCCUGAGGGGCAGAGGGUAGACCAAGCUCAGCUCUAACUGUAAACAUACUGUACAGGGUACCAAAGGAACAAAGCCUGGCUAACUGAAGGCUAUGCCUUAUGACAGAUGGCCAUAGAGGGGCACUCUGACAAAAGGUUGUCUGACACGAAAGUGUGAAUGAAACAAAGAUGUGCCAUUCAACUCAUCCAUGCAGAAAAAAUGGCACCUAUUGACACUUGCUGGACAUUUUUGGAGACCAAACUGUGGAUGUGAGCACAAUGAGGUGAUGGGAUAUAAAGAAAACCCACAAGUAAAACUGCUUCUUGAUGAAAUGCUGAAAACAAAUCCAAAAAAAUUCUGGACGUUAUUUGGAAUAAAUGGAACAAUCUGUUGAUUCCUUGAGUUGAAGCUCUCCCUGGAAAUGAAAUAGGGUUGAAAUUUCUGACUGCAUUAAAUCACUGAGGCUCAAGUCACAGUACAUUUCAGUAGAAGCCAAUGCCGGGAUUUUACUGAAGCUGGUAAGGAGAAGAGGUCUCAUAAGAUUUACGUAACUCAUGCAGUGGGACAUGGAGCUGCUGCUGUGAAAUUCAAAGAACUUGAAGGUAUCAAAACAGACAGAUGGCUACCAGUGGGUUUAGUAUUUGAUAUCAAGCACAGUUCUGAUGAAUUCUGAUGAGUGACAUGGGAAGUGCCAGAUGAUUGAAGAUGAAUAUCAGAUAGCCUGAAUAAAAGAACACAAGAACUUCAUUAUGCUGUUUUCUGAAAUACAGCCAUUACAGGCUGUUCACAAGCUGCUGAUAUAACUGUGGAGACACGUCUAGUAAAAGUCACCUGGGAUCAAACUAAAAUGAGUGACGGUGGAGCUGCUUCCAUAUCACAUCUCCUGCUUCCAGUACAGAACUUUUCAGGAACAGAAUGUAACACUGCUCCAAAGUCUUGGCAUGCCAGUGUUGCCUUUGUGUAUUUGAAGUAUUUCCACUGGUCUUCGGAGUCCUGUCAUCCACCAAUGAUUCUGACAUAUCCAUGAUGACAAUCUGCUCACAGAAUACUGAAAGAAGCUCUUUAACAAGGAAAUCCUUGCUGGCAUCGCCUACCCAAAAUGUCAUGAAAGGAGCCCAUACUUGACAGCUCCUGGCUUCCAUUAAGAACUGCAAGGUGCACGUUCCUUGUGAGAUAUUGAAACAACUGAGGUGGUGUUCUGUGGAAUACAUGUAUGGCCACAGAGCCUUCUGGACGCAUAGCUAAAUGUACUUUUGAGCCCUCUGUUAAAUGCAGUGGAAUCCACAACACAGAGCUGUGACUAUCCUUUGGAAGGAACAGACAUGACAACCAUCGUCUUAACUGCACUGUGUCAGAGGAACCAUGAGUUUGGCAGCAAUCCAUACCCAGUGCAUGGAGGACCUUCAGAUGAAUUUUUUCUGCUACAGUUUAACUUGCCACGUUUAAUUUGCAAGUAUCAAGAGGGGUGAGGCAUUGGAACAGGCUGCUCAUGGAGGUGGAAGAGUUACCGACCCUGGAGCUGUCCAAGAAAAAGGUAGGUGUCCCACUGAGUGACGUGGUGCAGUGGUGAUGGAUUGACAGUUGGACUAUAUGAUCUUAGUGGUCUUUCUAACCUUGAUGAUUCUGUAAUGCUUCCUAUUUAAUGAUGUUGACCUAUGAUAUCAGAGGCAAAUGUUGGUAGUAUGGCAGUAGAAAG
ensembl:lncRNA